CCUGAGAACCGGGAGAGAAGAGGCUCCUUCACCGAGAGGAAUGCAAGUUAGAUGUCAGAACUUCCUCUUCGUGAGGCUCCUAGAGAUGGCACCACUGCCUUCAUUUCUCCAGAGGGCAGGAAGGAGGCAGGAAGACAGCAGAAGUGGACACACAAGCCUAAUCUGCAAAGCCCAGUCUCCUCUUUGGUACCAGUGUCUGCCUCAUGUGAAGGAUCCUUAAAGCCCCCAUAUCAUGACAGCUGCCACUUGCCUGUCCCAAGAUGCAGCCCAUCUGCACGCCCAGGCUCUGCAGCCCCAGCCCGGAGGACCUCAGCCCACACAUCUGUGGCAUGGAGACGGGGCAGCUGAGGUGGGUGGCUCAGAACCCAGCCUGGCCUCACCCUGAGCCAGCACAGAGCAGCUCCCCAGCCCCAACACAACAGACACACGGCACCUUCCAGACCUCUGCCCUCCUGCCCCAGCCCACUACCCAUGCCACUCUCCAGGGAAGCUUCUCUCACCACACCAGCCUCCUCAGCACCCGCUCCAGGCCGGGCCCCACCUCUGGUCUUUGCCUAUGGGAAUAACAAGCAUGGUUCUUGAAGUGAAAGUGCACAUGAUCCGCACAGUGUCCAGCAUCAGCACAGGGGCUCACAGGAUCAGCUUCAUCCCUGAGGAGAGGGUUACACUGUCCAUCUCCGCCGCCAGUUCCAGCCCCAUACACAACCCCCAAAAGUCCAGAGUGGAGAUUUUAUCCCCAUUUCUCAAAAGCAGAAACUGAAGCUCAGAGAAGUUGAGAGCUUGUCCAAGGUGACACAGCAGGGAACUAUCAAAAGCUUUGCCAAGAUCCCAAAGGGCACCAGAUCUCAGGCCUCCUGGGACAAAGACCUGUGCUCUCCCAUCUCAGAGGAACCUGAAGUCUCUCAAGCCAGAGGACUCUGGGGUGAUCCAGCUCUGCCUCCCACAAGCUGGAUGACUUGGGGCAUGUUACAUAACCUCUCUGUGUAUCUGUUUUCAUUGAUGAAACGAAGGUGAUAACAGCGCCUACUUUGGAGGGUUUUGCAAGGUUAAAUGAGCUAAUACGCCUAACACAAGAAUGGAGCCCAGCACAUAAUAAAUGUUCAGGAUGUGUUAA